GUAGCAUUAGUUGUGCAAUUUAAGUUGAUGCUUUAAAGGUGAAUUUAACCAUGUCUCACCUACUUUAUGUACUAAUAUUAGCAUUACACUUUGUGUCAUAAAAAUCUGAUUUCUCCUCAACACAACCAAAUACAUUUAAAAAAGUUAUGUGGUUAAUAACUAUGUCUGAAACCCCUCCAAAAAUAUGUCCCCUAUUCAUGUCUAAAUUUGUAAGUUGUAGAAAGAAUCUUUGUCCUUCCAGGCCAGACCGCAGUGACCUCACCUUAGUGUCAAAACAGGAAAUGCAAAUGCAGCUAACCACUGCAAACUUUCAAAUAUGGAUCUCAAAAGAGAAAAUGCAACACUCAGACAAUCUCUCUCCAUGAUUGAAGACAUGGCUGGUGGUUUGAGACCCAUCCCCAAAUCUCACAAUGGUGAGAGAUUAAACACGGUUUCUAACGACAUCAUGGCUGGUGAAUCCACACCCUUCCUCCAACCCCCAAAAGCAGCAGUCCAAGACAUAGCCAUCACAACCCUACCAGACAUUAUGGUGCCACGUGGUCUCCCAUCUCUUUCAUAGCUGGACCCCGCCACAUAAAUCCUCUUUGUCAAGACAGGUAAAUUAAGAGCUACACUGGCCUGGCUUUGGCUUCAAGGUGGGUCACAGUUACAAUCCCCUUUGCUUCCACCCACCUCAAUUAUCUACUAGGGUCUUCACAUUCUUCUUGAGGCGCUCAUAUUACUUUCUAUAUUAUAGGGUACGAAGCAUGUGUUUUUACUCACCAAUGUAACAAGACAGUGUGGUCAAAGACUUGGUAACUUAGUUGUAGUCACUAUCUGGUUACCUAUUACAUAUUUAUUAACUUAUUUCUGGAUAUCUUUUAAACUACCCACAAUGCGCUAUUUCUCAAUGUCACAUGGACGACAAAAGUAUGUGGACACCCCUUCAAAUUAGUGGAUUCAGCCACACCUGUUGCUGAUAAAAUCGAGCACAGAGCCAUGCAAUCUCCAUAAACAAACAUUGGAGGUAGAAUGGCCUUAUUGAAGAGCUCAGUGACUUUCAACGUGGCAUUGUCAUAGGAUCCCACAUUUCCAACCCUGCUAGAGCUGCCCCGAACUGUAAGGGCUGUUAUUGUGAAUUGGAAACGUCUAGGACCAAGAACAGCUCAGCCGCAAAGUGAUAUGCGACACAAGCUCACAGAACGGGAACGUUGAGUGCUGAAACGCAUAGCGCGUACAAAAUCGUCUGUCCUCAGUUGCAACACUCACUACCGAGUUCCAAACUGCCUUUGGAAGCAACGCCAGCAUAAGA